rnacentral:rRNA from 1 species
AGGACGAACGCUGGCGGCGUGCCUAACACAUGCAAGUCGAACGGGGUGAUCCUUCGGGGUCACUUAGUGGCGAACGGGUGAGUAACGCGUGAGAAACCUGCCUCUCAGUGGGGGACAACAGUUGGAAACGACUGCUAAUACCGCAUAAUGUAUCCGGAGGGCAUCCUUUGGAUACCAAAGCUUUAUGUGCUGAGAGAUGGUCUCGCGUCUGAUUAGCUAGUUGGCGGGGUAACGGCCCACCAAGGCGACGAUCAGUAGCCGGUCUGAGAGGAUGAACGGCCACAUUGGGACUGAGAUACGGCCCAGACUCCUACGGGAGGCAGCAGUGGGGAAUAUUGGGCAAUGGGCGAAAGCCUGACCCAGCAACGCCGCGUGAAGGAAGAAGGUUUUCGGAUUGUAAACUUCUGUCCUUGGUGACGAAGGAAGUGACGGUAGCCAAGGAGGAAGCCCCGGCUAACUACGUG